CCUACGGGUGGCAGCAGUGAGGAAUAUUGGUCAAUGGACGGAAGUCUGAACCAGCCAAGUAGCGUGAAGGAUGACUGCCCUAUGGGUUGUAAACUUCUUUUAUAUGGGAAUAAAAUGUUCCACGUGUGGGGUUUUGUAUGUACCGUAUGAAUAAGGAUCGGCUAACUCCGUGCCAGCAGCCGCGGUAAUACGGAGGGUCCGAGCGUUAUCCGGAUUUAUUGGGUUUAAAGGGAGCGUAGGUGGAUUGUUAAGUCAGCUGUGAAAGGUUGGGGCUCAACCGUAGAAUUGCAGUUGAAACUGGCAGGCUUGAGGACACUAGAGGUGGGCGGAAUUCGUGGUGUAGCGGUGAAAUGCUUAGAUAUGACGAAGAACCCCGAUUGCGAAGGCAGCUCACUGGAGUGCAACUGACACUGAGGCUCGAAAGUGUGGGUAUCAAACAGGAUUAGAUACCCCUGUAGUC
rnacentral:rRNA from 1 species